AUAUUGCGCAAUGGAGGAAACUCUGACGCAGCGACGCCGCGUGAGCGAUGAAGGUCUNNNGAUCGNACAGCUCUGUCCUUGGGNAAGNAGAUCGAAAGAUUUGACGGUACCCGAGGAGGAAGCCCCGUCUAACUACGUGCCAGCAGCCGCGGUAACACGUAGGGGGCUAGCGUUGUCCGGAAUUAUUGGGCGUAAAGGGUGCGUAGGCGGCCUUUUAAGUCAGAUGUGAAAGCCCACGGCUUAACCGUGGGACUGCAUUUGAAACUGGAGGGCUUGAGUAUCGGAGAGGGUAGUGGAAUUCCCAGUGUAGCGGUGGAAUGCGUAGAUAUUGGGAGGAACACCAGUGGCGAAGGCGACUACCUGGACGAAAACUGACGCUGAGGCACGAAAGCGUGGGUAGCGAACA
rnacentral:rRNA from 1 species